AGGGCUGCUGUGGUUUGCUGGAGGUUCAUUUCAGGCCCUAUUCAUCAGGAGCGCUCCUGCACUUGGAGAUGUCACUCAAGGAGGCUGGAGAACAGCAAAGGAGACUGGAGGGACCCAUGGAUCCCAACCAUGGACUGGGUUCCCCUUGUAUGAGCCAUGAUCCAGUUGAAUCUGAAUGCGAAGAUGGAACGAAGACCAACCAGAGUCAUCAUGCUUAAUGGACCAAUGCUUUCUGACUCAGCUCCUCUCUACCCUGAAUACAAGAGACGCUAAUAGUUAGGCAGCAGUAUCAUCGCCCCUAUUCAGCAUGAAGAAGUUACAGAAGACGGACCUUCACUCUUCUGCAACCCCUAGGAUUCAGGGUCCUCUUAUAAAAGAGAAAGGGGAGAUAUGUGGGAAGCAUUCAAACCAGAGAGACUCCAGUUUGAAUAAGGGCUAAGAAAAGUGAAGCUGGAUCACCAACCAGCAAUUAAGGGCUGCACAGCCUGCAAUCGCCUUGCUCAAUUAAAAGAGGUCACCUCUCAUGCUAGUAAUAAUGUUACCUUCUCUUUUACAAAAAAGAGAAGUGGGGCAUGUUGGGAAAAAGCUGAGUGUUGGGAGGGAAACCAAGGCAGGGCUUGCAUAAUAUCCUCUGGAAUGUGACUAGACUUGCUGACUCCUUGCUUCUAGCCCUCCUAGGCUCCUAUUCCCAUUAUCUCAAGCAGCAGAACAUGUUCCUUAUAAAUGCUAAACCAUCACAGCUGUAGACCAUGCACCUGCCCUUUUGACCUCCCCAUUCUCAUCACCUGUUUCUCUGUUGGAUUACCAAUAAAUAGCAUGGGCUC
rnacentral:lncRNA from 1 species